UACGUAGGGUGCAAGCGUUGUCCGGAAUUAUUGGGCGUAAAGAGCUCGUAGGCGGUCUGUCGCGUCUGCUGUGAAAACUCAGGGCUUAACCCUGAGCUUGCAGUGGGUACGGGCAGACUAGAGUGCGGUAGGGGAGACUGGAAUUCCUGGUGUAGCGGUGGAAUGCGCAGAUAUCAGGAGGAACACCGGUGGCGAAGGCGGGGUCUCUGGGCCGAUACUGACGCUGGAGGAGCGAAAGCGUGGGGAGCGA
rnacentral:rRNA from 1 species